GAUGAACGCUGGCGGCGUGCCUAAUACAUGCAAGUCGAGCGAACAGACGAGGAGCUUGCUCCUCUGACGUUAGCGGCGGACGGGUGAGUAACACGUGGAUAACCUACCUAUAAGACUGGGAUAACUUCGGGAAACCGGAGCUAAUACCGGAUAAUAUCUUGAACCGCAUGGUUCAAUAGUGAAAGACGGUUUUGCUGUCACUUAUAGAUGGAUCCGCGCCGCAUUAGCUAGUUGGUAAGGUAACGGCUUACCAAGGCGACGAUGCGUAGCCGACCUGAGAGGGUGAUCGGCCACACUGGAACUGAGACACGGUCCAGACUCCUACGGGAGGCAGCAGUAGGGAAUCUUCCGCAAUGGGCGAAAGCCUGACGGAGCAACGCCGCGUGAGUGAUGAAGGUCUUCGGAUCGUAAAACUCUGUUAUUAGGGAAGAACAAAUGUGUAAGUAACUAUGCACGUCUUGACGGUACCUAAUCAGAAAGCAACGGCUAACUACGUG
rnacentral:rRNA from 1 species